rnacentral:rRNA from 1 species
CCUACGGGUGGCAGCAGUGAGGAAUAUUCGGCAAUGGGCGAGAGCCUGAACGAGCCAAGUCGCGUGAAGGAUGAAAGAUCUAUGGUUUGUAAACUUCUUUUAUAUGGGAAUAAAGUGAGGAACGUGUUCCUUUUUGUAUGUACCAUAUGAAUAAGCAUCGGCUAACUCCGUGCCAGCAGCCGCGGUAAUACGGAGGAUGCGAGCGUUAUCCGGGUUUAUUUGGUUUAAAGGCUGCGGAGGUGGUUAAUUAAGUCAGCGGUGAAAGUUUGUGGCUCAAACAUAAAAUUGCCGUUGAAUCUGGUUAACUUGAGUAUAUGUGAGGUAGGCGGAAUGCGUGGUGUAGCGGUGAAAUGCAUAGAUAUCACGCAGAACUCCGAUUGCGAAGGCAGCUUACUAACCUAUAACUGACACUGAAGCACGAAAGCGUGGGGAUCAAACAGGAUUAGAUACCCGAGUAGUC